rnacentral:ncRNA from 1 species
UAAAAUGCAAUGAAAAGAAGAGUAGCAAAAAAGUAUGUUUAAAAGAGAGCUGGGAAAGGUGAAAGCCAGUAACAGAUGAUUUUGUGAAGAUGGCCUUUGAGCAUAUUCUCUGAACUAAUUUAGGAGAAUACAGUUACACCUGUUAUAGUGUACAGUAAUAAAUGCCUUAUGCAGAGUUACUUAGUGAUUUAAUUAUAGUGAUAUAAUUAUAAAAUAGAGUGGUACAGCGUUUAAUACGCCUCUAUG